rnacentral:rRNA from 1 species
GACGAACGCUGGCGGCGUGCUUAACACAUGCAAGUCGAACGAUGAACCCGGAGCUUGCUCUGGGGGAUUAGUGGCGAACGGGUGAGUAACACGUGAGUAACCUGCCCUGGACUCUGGGAUAAGCGUUGGAAACGACGUCUAAUACCGGAUAGGACCUUGGAUCGCAUGAUCUGGGGUGGAAAGUUUUUUCGGUCUGGGAUGGACUCGCGGCCUAUCAGCUUGUUGGUGAGGUAAUGGCUCACCAAGGCGUCGACGGGUAGCCGGCCUGAGAGGGUGACCGGCCAUACUGGGACUGAGACACGGCCCAGACUCCUACGGGAGGCAGCAGUGGGGAAUAUUGCACAAUGGGCGAAAGCCUGAUGCAGCAACGCCGCGUGCGGGAUGACGGCCUUCGGGUUGUAAACCGCUUUUAGUAGGGAAGAAGGGCUUCGGCUUGACGGUACCUGCAGAAAAAGAACCGGCUAACUACGUG